rnacentral:rRNA from 1 species
AGCGAACGCUGGCGGCAGGCUUAACACAUGCAAGUCGAGCGGGCGUAGCAAUACGUCAGCGGCAGACGGGUGAGUAACGCGUGGGAACGUACCUUUGGUUCGGAACAACACAGGGAAACUUAGUGCUAAUACCGGAUAAGCCCUUACGGGGAAAGGAUUUAUCGCCGAAAGAUCGGCCCGCGUCUGAUUAGCUAGUUGGUGUGGUAACGGCGCACCAAGGCGACGAUCAGUAGCUGGCUGAGAGGAUGA